rnacentral:snRNA from 1 species
AAACAACUCAUUCUUGCUUAAG